GACGAACGCUGGCGGCGUGCUUAACACAUGCAAGUCGAACGGAAAGGCCCUGCUUUUGUGGGGUGCUCGAGUGGCGAACGGGUGAGUAACACGUGAGUAACCUGCCCUUGACUUUGGGAUAACUUCAGGAAACUGGGGCUAAUACCGGCUAGGAGCUCCUGCUGCAUGGUGGGGGUUGGAAAGUUUCGGCGGUUGGGGAUGGACUCGGGGCUUAUCAGCUUGUUGGUGGGGUAGUUGCUUACCAAGGCUUCGACGGGUAGCCGGCCUGAGAGGGUGACCGGCCACAUUGGGACUGAGAUACGGCCCAGACUCCUACGUGAGGCAGCAGUGGGGAAUACUGCACAAUGGGCGGAAGCGUGAUGCAGCAGCGCCGCGUGCGGGAUGACGGCCUUCGGGUUGGAAACCGCUUUCGCCUGUGACGAAGCGUGAGUGACGGUAAUGAGUAAAGAAGCACCGGCUAACUACGUG
rnacentral:rRNA from 1 species